CCCGAUUCCUUUCAUUUCACACAGAAGCCGUGAGGCUUGCAAGAAGUAAAUUUUAGCUGUCAGUAGAUUUCAGCAAAAUUCGUUUGGAAGCCCGCUGUCAGAAACGACCUACUAUUCUCAGGCACUUCAAAAGGUGGAGACAACUGUUGGAUAACAGCAUGAACAUCAGUUUUAUUUUCAAAUUAAUCAAACCUGCAAUAAUUCUCUGAUGGAUGGAUUCCAAUUCUGUUUUAUUAAACAAGGAGACACAGGGGAAGGCAAACUAAGGGCCAGGCCUAUGAAAAGCAUAGCACCCUCAAAUGGAUACUAAUCACCUCCACUCCUACUGAUGUCCAUUCACAUUGAGAUUGUGAAGGAUCUCUGAGGCUUGUGCUGAAAAAUACAGAUUUGAGGACCACUGAAGACACUACUGAGUCACCUCAGUUUCUCAUCCUCUCAACAUACCCCCAACAACUGUCCAAGUGGCUGAAAGCUCUGUUCAAAAUUGAUAUGUACCGUUGGGAACAUCAAGCAAACAUCUCCUGAAUCUCUCAAGGCAAAAUGAAGAUGACAGCCUGAUAAGGCCACAAGGGAGGACGCAAAAUUUUACCUACUGGAUCCAACUCUGCAAAACAUUACAAUAAUUACUCCCAAACUGGAAUAGGUGUAAGG